AGUCAAUCUACCCUAUGGACGGGAAUAAUCUCGGGAAACUGAGAAUAAUGCCCGAUAGAACAUUAUGCCUGGAAUGGUUUAUGUUUCAAAUGAUUUAUCGCCAUAGGAUGGGACUGCGGCCUAUCAGUUUGUUGGUGAGGUAAUGGCCCACCAAGACUAUUACAGGUACGGGCUCUGAGAGGAGUGGCCCGGAGAUGGGUACUGAGACACGGACCCAGGCCCUAUGGGGCGCAGCAGGCGAGAAAACUUUGCAAUGUGCGAAAGCACGACAAGGUUAAUCCGAGUGGUUUCUGCUAAAGAAACCUUUUGUCAGUCCUAGAAACACUAACGAAUAAGGGGUGGGCAAGUUCUGGUGUCAGCCGCCGCGGUAAAACCAGCACCUCAAGUGGUCAGGAUGAUUAUUGGGCCUAAAGCAUCCGUAGCUCGUUUUGUAAGUUUUCGGUUAAAUCCAUACGCUUAACGUAUGGGCUGCCGGGAAUACUGCAUAACUAGGAAGUGGGAGAGGUAGACGGUACUCGGUAGGAAGGAGUAAAAUCCUUUGAUCUAUUGAUGACCACCUGUGGCGAAGGCGGUCUACCAGAACACGUUCGACGGUGAGGGAUGAAAGCUGGGGGAGCAAACCGGAUUAGAUACCCGGGUAGUCCCAGCUGUAAACUAUGCAAACUCAGUGAUGCAUUGGC
rnacentral:rRNA from 1 species